CCUACUCUCCUUAAAAAUCUCCAACAAAAUACUUUGUUAACUCUAUUUAUACUUUUCCUCCCACAAUCUCAACAACCUAUCGCUCCUGCAGUUUUCUUCCCUUCCAACAAAGUUGAGAGGAAAAAAAAAUCGAGCAGCCUGUCUGUGAACCCAAAUCCUCCCUGCAAAUCUCAAUUUGUUCUCCUCUUUCCAAAGGUUGAGCGGUGACGAGCGCGGUGGGUGUUGAGCAUAAAAGUGAAGAAU